CGGAGGGCGAGGCGGAGAAAGGGGCGACGGAAAUCCGUCGAAAAGGUUUUUGAUUGGAUUGAGAUGGCGUCGAAACGGAUUCUGAAGGAGUUGAAGGAUCUGCAGAAGGAUCCACCAACGUCUUGCAGUGCAGGGCCUGUGGCGGAGGAUAUGUUUCACUGGCAAGCAACUAUCAUGGGACCUGCUGACAGUCCCUUCGCUGGUGGAGUCUUUUUGGUCACUAUUCACUUCCCACCAGAUUACCCGUUCAAGCCGCCGAAGGUUUCCUUCCGGACCAAGGUUUUCCACCCAAACAUCAACAGCAAUGGGAGCAUUUGCCUUGACAUACUCAAGGAGCAAUGGAGUCCAGCACUGACCAUAUCAAAGGUACUGUUGUCAAUCUGCUCGCUCCUGACUGAUCCUAAUCCGG
rnacentral:misc_RNA from 1 species